rnacentral:tRNA from 1 species
GUGCUUGUAGCUCAGUCGGUAGAGCGCCAGAUUGUUAAUCUGAUGGUCGCAGGUUCGAUUCCUGCUUGGCACG